UACGUAGGGUCCGAGCGUUAUCCGGAUUUAUUGGGCGUAAAGAGCUUGUAGGCGGUUUGUCGCGUCUGCUGUGAAAUUUCGGGGCUCAACCCCGAACUUGCCGUGGGUACGGGCAGGCUAGAGUGUGGUAGGGGAGACUGGAAUUCCUGGUGUAGCGGUGAAAUGCGCAGAUAUCAGGAGGAACACCGAUGGCGAAGGCAGGUCUCUGGGCCAUAACUGACGCUGAGAAGCGAAAGCAUGGGGAGCGAACAGG
rnacentral:rRNA from 1 species